GGCUGGUUAGCUCAGUCAGUUGAGUGUGGCGCUAACAGUGCCAAAGUCGCGGGUUCGAUUCCCGUUCGGUCC
rnacentral:tRNA from 1 species